rnacentral:rRNA from 1 species
GAUGAACGCUGGCGGCGUGCCUAAUACAUGCAAGUCGAGCGAACAGACGAGGAGCUUGCUCCUCUGACGUUAGCGGCGGACGGGUGAGUAACACGUGGAUAACCUACCUAUAAGACUGGGAUAACUUCGGGAAACCGGAGCUAAUACCGGAUAAUAUAUUGAACCGCAUGGUUCAAUAGUGAAAGACGGUUUUGCUGUCCCUUAUAGAUGGAUCCGCGCCGCAUUAGCUAGUUGGUAAGGUAACGGCGUACCAAGGCAACGAUGCGUAGCCGACCUGAGAGGGUGAUCGGCCACACUGGAACUGAGACACGGUCCAGACUCCUACGGGAGGCAGCAGUAGGGAAUCUUCCGCAAUGGGCGAAAGCCUGACGGAGCAACGCCGCGUGAGUGAUGAAGGUCUUCGGAUCGUAAAACUCUGUUAUUAGGGAAGAACAAAUGUGUAAGUAACUAUGCACGUCUUGACGGUACCUAAUCAGAAAGCCACGGCUAACUACGUG